AGAGUUUGAUCCUGGCUCAGAUUGAACGCUGCGGCAUGCUUUACACAUGCAAGUCGAACGGUAACGCGGGGCAACCUUGGCGACGAGUGGCGAACGGGUGAGUAAUACAUCGGAACGUGCCCAGUAUGGGGAUAGCUCGGCGAAAGCCGGAUUAAUACCGCAUACGACCUACGGGUGAAAGCGGGGGACCGUAAGGCCUCGCGCUAUUGGAGCGGCCGAUGGCAGAUUAGCUUGUUGGUGAGGUAAAGGCUUACCAAGGCGACGAUCUGUAGCUGGUCUGAGAGGACGACCAGCCACACUGGGACUGAGACACGGCCCAGACCCCUACGGGAGGCAGCAGUGGGGAAUUUUGGACAAUGGGCGAAAGCCUGAUCCAGCAAUGCCGCGUGUGUGAUGAAGGCCUUCGGGUUGUAAAGCACUUUUGGUAGGAACGAAACGGUCUGGGCUAAUACCCGGACUAAUGACGGUACCUGCAGAAUAAGCACCGGCUAACUACGUG
rnacentral:rRNA from 1 species